GGGGUUGUGGCUCAGUGGUGGAGCACUUGUCUGGCACAUGUGAGGCACUGGGUUCAAUUCUCAGAACCACA
rfam:Ictidomys tridecemlineatus contig088900, whole genome shotgun sequence.